rnacentral:pre_miRNA from 1 species
AGUGGGAUAACUGGGUCAAAUGGUUGUUCUAUUCCUAGUUUUCUGAGGAAUCUCCAGACUGCUUUCCUUAAUGGUUGCACCAAUUUGCAGUCUCGCCAGCAAU